rnacentral:rRNA from 1 species
UACAGAGACUGCAAGCGUUAUUCGGAUUCACUGGGCGUAAAGGGUGCGCAGGCGGCCAAGUGUGUGAGGCGUGAAAGCCUGGAGCUUAACUCCAGAAUUGCACCUCAAACUACUUGGCUAGAGCAUUGGAGAGGGUAGCAGAAUUCACGGUGUAGCAGUGAAAUGCGUAGAUAUCGUGAGGAAUACCAGAGGCGAAGGCGGCUACCUGGACAAUUGCUGACGCUCAGGCACGAAAGCGUGGGGAGCAAAAGGG